rnacentral:rRNA from 1 species
GAUGAACGCUAGCGGGAGGCCUAACACAUGCAAGCCGAGCGGUAUUGUUUCUUCGGAAAUGAGAGAGCGGCGUACGGGUGCGGAACACGUGUGCAACCUGCCUUUAUCUGGGGGAUAGCCUUUCGAAAGGAAGAUUAAUACUCCAUAAUAUAUUGAACGGCAUCGUUUAAUAUUGAAAGCUCCGGCGGAUAGAGAUGGGCACGCGCAAGAUUAGCUAGUUGGUGAGGUAACGGCUCACCAAGGCGAUGAUCUUUAGGGGGCCUGAGAGGGUGAUCCCCCACACUGGUACUGAGACACGGACCAGACUCCUACGGGAGGCAGCAGUGAGGAAUAUUGGUCAAUGGGUGCAAGCCUGAACCAGCCAUCCCGCGUGAAGGACGACUGCCCUAUGGGUUGUAAACUUCUUUUGUAUAGGGAUAAACCUACCCUCGUGAGGGUAGCUGAAGGUACUAUACGAAUAAGCACCGGCUAACUCCGUGCCAGCCGCCGCGGUAACAC